rnacentral:rRNA from 1 species
GCAAGUCGAGCGCACUCUUCGGAGUGAGCGGCAGACGGGUGAGUAACGCGUGGGAAUCUACCCAUCUCUACGGAACAACAGUUGGAAACGACUGCUAAUACCGUAUACGCCCUUCGGGGGAAAGAUUUAUCGGAGAUGGAUGAGCCCGCGUUGGAUUAGCUAGUUGGUGGGGUAAAGGCCUACCAAGGCGACGAUCAGUAGCUGGUCUGAGAGGAUGAUC